UGAGUGGUAGGUUAAGUUAAACCCUUACCGUUCAAUGGUAAAAAUAAAAAAUUUCCACUCAU
rnacentral:tRNA from 1 species